ensembl:lncRNA
UAUUUAUAUGUAUUAUAUUAGUUUAUUAUUAUUUAUAACAGAAGAGAUCUGCGUCAUAACAAGCAGCUCCCAGCUGGAAGUGUUUGUAACUGUGGGAAUGAGGGAAAAAGUAGGUUUGAGAGGCAAAAAAUCACAUUUAACCAAAUCUUUCCUUCAUGCGCCAUCAAGCACAGAUACUUCAGUGACACCAGCCGUUUUUCUGCAGAAGCCCAAUAGAUCAUCUCUCCCACAGUGGAAACAUGUUAUUGAGUCAGACUGUGCUUCAGCAAACACGUUCUCACUCACCGGCCAUCUGAUAUGAUUGACAUUUACAACUCUGAAUGUCACAAAUAUGCUACAACACUGUCACUGUGUCUAAUAUCACUAUGUUUCUCUGUGUAAUAUGGUUUUAAUCUGUGUAGCAUGAGUUACAAUCUAUACAUACCAUUGUAUGUUGUAAAUAUACUUAUUUUCCGAUGAGACCUACAGUUUGUAGAUCCGCAAACAAUUUGCCAAACUUGUAUUAAGCAGUGUACUAUACGCAUUUAUGCAGAAAUGUAGUUACAGUGAGUAUAAAAAUAUGUGAUCCGAGAAAUGCACGACAUGUCUGUAUACACACACACAAUGUCUCCAUAGCAGCCACAGCACUAAACACCUGUUCUCACUCACACACACACACCCGUAUCCACUUGCUUAAGCCAAUAAACACAUUGAGUGAAUCGUUGUACUGUAUUUUAUUUAUUAAAAACCUUAACAGCUACAUCUUUUUAUGACCAUUGUUGUGUGAACGUGUGCAGCAUGGGAGAAAUGAACGGUUGCUACUUUCUCAUUUAUGCAGCACUGAUACCUGCACCAGUCAAUAAUAAGGGCCUAACAAUUGAAAACGCACAAAACUCUCUGAGCAUCUUCCCAACAGCCGAUUUGGACAAUUUUACGAAUUUUACACACUUUUCAUUCUGCAUCAAUGCAUGCUGUGCAAUGAUGUGCUUUUCUUUCAUCUGACUUGCUUUAGAGCACAGACGCUCUAUAUGGAGAUUGAAGCUCUUGCAUGCUGUCAGAACCCUCAUCAUUCCGGAACAAAAGACAUAAAAAGCCAGCUCUUUGGUAUAGUUCUAAUGAUUUAUUGUCCAGCUGCCUUAAAUAUGUUCAAACUUGGCAGAGACUUCUGCAGAGGAUUAGCAGCAGCCGCAGCUAACAGGCAAUUGAUUAUUUAUAUACUGCUGAGGGGGGGCAAACAACCCCCCUUUUGACGGUCAGCAGUGUGAGCUGCGAAAUGGGACAAUUUAUGUGCUUGUUUACACAACUCUUACAAUGUUGUCAUGGUAAAUUAAUUCAAAUUCUAUUAAAAUCACAACCCGGCUCAUGGGGUUAAGUGUUGCUAAAAUGCUAUUGACAAUACACUUAUUCAUGAUGUUUCCAAGAGUUGGAUGAAUCUCUUGGUUUUUCUGUCUCGGCUCUGUUAUAAAUAUUGAGCUGGAGACCGAAGACGUUUGGCUUAGCUUGACACAAAGACUGGAAGCGCGGCGAAGCGGCUGGCCGGGUUCUGAAUAAAGAUAACAAAAUCCAGCUCCAAACACGAAUUAGCUCAUUAGUAAAUGUGUCAUACCUACAGAAACUGAAGUACAAAAGCAACACUUGACCGACUAGUCCUAGUGAACAUCUCCAACAUAAGAAUAACAGAAUGCUUGAUCAUCAAACCAAGCAGAACGACGCACCGAUAGUCUAUUGUUCUUGUAGCAGCGUUUGCACAGGCUUGAGUGCUCCUGCUCUUCUUCAUGGAAUUCUACAGAAACAGGGGCAACCAAUCACCCACUGACUGACUGACUUUAUCUCCAGCUCAAACAUUCACUUGAUUGAUUUCCUAAAGUGAUCCCAUUUGUCAGUCUUGGACAAGCUGUCCAACCACAAAUCGAGUCAACAGACUAAGUUAAGUUGGGUCCCUUGGGGCUCAGGGGUGGACCAGUUUUUCUUAAAUUGGCCACCAGUGUUUGAGCAUGGACAGCUAUGUGACUGGUCAAGAGCUGCUGUGUCAACUGGUCCCCCCCCCCCCCCC